ACAGAUAUGGCAAAACUACAACUCCCAGCAUGUCCGGACAACCUUUGGAGCAUGCUGAUGACCUCUAGGAAUGCUGGGAGCUGUAGUUUUGCAACAGCUGGAUGCACACUGCUUGGGAAACACUUCUGUAUGUAGGCAGUGAAGGGUGGAUGGGGUGACACCAUUGUGGGAUUCCUUCCCACUUGGUGUUGUCACCCUAUUUGUGGUUGUCACCCUGUGUGGUCCACACCCCCCGCACCUCCCUAGCAAUGCCACUGACUACUAAAAGUCUCAGAACUGAACUAUGGAGCAAUAGACUAAGCUGAAUUGGUCUGAUGAAUCUUUUUUUAUGUGGACAGCCAGGUGCAUGUGAGUCACUUACCUAGGGAAAAGGAGGCAUUAUGGGGAAAAAGCAAAGCAGUGAAGGCUAUUUGACGGGUGCUACCUAGACCCUGGACAUUUUUUUUUUCUUUUUUAGUCAGUGAGUGGGCCCGCCACCCACUCCUGACUGAUAACUUACAGUUAUCUUGGGUCACACACGACGACGAUGCUGCUUCUGCACAUUGGGCCUGUCUCUUUAAGUUUGCAGUGGUCGGCGGGAGGUGCUACUUACACCCGCAUGGCCGCUGCGCUGCCUGCGCAUUGAUACAGCCGCGGCCUCACAGUAGCGCUGUGGCGGAGGCUGAGCAGAGGAGAGUCUGUCUUCUGCCUCCUGAGAAAGUCAGCUGCGCCGUCCGCAGCUCCGCUGUCAGUAAGGAUGGUGAAUAGGGACAUGGGAUCUGAGCUAUGAAACUCGCUGAAAUGUCUUGGAAGUGUUUUGAGUUUUGGUCCUACCUUGGAGAAGAUCUUCCCUGCAGGCAUGCUGAGCUCUCUGAUAGGCUUUUUUAAGGGAUCGUCUGCUGUAACCACGCUGGAGGAAACGUUUGUAUGUAGGCCAGUGAUUCCCUGCUGCGGUGACAGCGUCCCCCUCUCCCCUGCGUCCGCUGUGACCCGAUGGUGCCCUGGUGUGGAACGAGAGCUGUGUCUGCACCGGACUCCCGUGCCUGCCGUGGAACUACAAGCUGCGCGGGCUGGCUUGCAUAAGGUUUAAUGGUGAAGAAUUGUGUGUGGAAGAAAUCGUGAUGAUGGCCCGGACCAGAUGGAGAAGAGAAGGCAACAAAGCAAAUUAGAGAAGACGUCAUUG